rnacentral:rRNA from 1 species
GAGACACGGACCAGACUCCUACGGGAGGCAGCAGUGAGGAAUAUUGGUCAAUGGGCGGGAGCCUGAACCAGCCAAGUCGCGUGAGGGACGACGGCCCUACGGGUUGUAAACCUCUUUUGCCGGGGGACAAACGGCGGCACGCGUGCCGUCCUGAGGGUACCCGGAGAAAAAGCAUCGGCUAACUCCGUGCCAGCAGCCGCGGUAAUACGGAGGAUGCGAGCGUUAUCCGGAUUUAUUGGGUUUAAAGGGUGCGUAGGCGGGAUGCCAAGUCAGCGGUCAAAUACGGGGGCUCAACCUGCGUCCGCCGUUGAAACUGGCGUUCUUGAGUGGGCGAGAAGUACGCGGAAUGCGUGGUGUAGCGGUGAAAUGCAUAGAUAUCACGCAGAACCCCGAUUGCGAAGGCAGCGUACCGGCGCCCAACUGACGCUGAAGCACGAAAGCGUGGGUAUCGAACAGGAUUAGAUACCCUGGUAGUCCACGCAGUAAACGAUGAACACUAAUUGUCCGGCGGGGUUUGCCGCUGG